rnacentral:lncRNA from 1 species
UAUGAUUGGAGCUUUAGCCCUUUUGUAUAAAUAUAAUGAAGGAGCAUCAAACAUUGCAUAGCAGUUGAACGUCUAUGGCAUUUGUUUUAUAACGAUCAAAGAUGCUUAGAACAUCAUUUCUAUUGAAUCCACAUAACAAGUAUUUAUGGCAAGGGGCACCAUCACAUAGAUUAAAGAAAAACGAUGGAUUAAUUAAUAGUUCAACACUAAAGCAUCGACCACUUGCAUGGUGAUAGGAGCAAGUGGCAAUGUGCCAAGUCUCUAAGUUGCGGUACAUAUUCUAAAUCCUUGCGGUGCUCCAUGGUUAGCAAUGCAUCGUCAUAUGGACAUCUUCGCUACAACCGAUGCAUGCACCUCAAACAACAUGCCGGUGUUUUUACCUGAUAAAAUAGAUAGUGUUACUAAUUUAUUUGCUAGGUGCAAAUUGUAUGAGCGACUUGUAUGAAAUAAAUGCAAUGUUUCAUUAAGAUCUCUACCCAACUAUUUUUACCAAAAAAACCAAAAAAUGUUGUUUUCCCCUGUAAUACCUGAACUUGUUACAAUAUAAACAAAAUUAACCCUGUCGUAGAAUAAAAGCAUUAUGACCUACUAAACCCAACCUGAUAAAAUGAUCCAUUUCAAUACAGAACAUUUGAUGUGUCGUUAAUUGCCAGUUGUUAACAGAAAAUCUGUAAUAGAAUCAUGGUGCAAAGAUAGCUUGUAUUGCCGUUUACAGAACGAAGGAAGCUCAAACAAUAUUUUAACAUUAAAUUAUCUUCCAUCCUAAUGAUAGCCUCAUACAGUGCCACAUCUCUAACCUUGAGCCUUUUUAAAAAAAACAUACAAAUAUGUUAGAUGGAUGCAAAUGCUUCUAUUCUCCUUAUUAAUUCGUUGCAAUGUAAAAGAUAUACAUGCAAUUCCAGCUAGAAAUAUACUAACAAAUUGCCAUAGAAAUCAUUAUGGGAAAUUAAGAACAGGUUCCACCUUUUUGUUGGCAGAAAAUAAAGAAAGAAAGAACACACCAGAAUUUUAAAAGGAGUAGCAGAGAGGCGGAGGACCAUAAUCCUUCUUCGGGCAGAGACAACAGCGAACGGCUGGGCGUCGGAGGGCUUGACACCUGCUGAGGAACGUGUGACAUUAUUGGAUUAACCUCUUGGUUGAUGAGCAUGCAUGAAGAACAUCAAAUACAAAAAGUGAUAUAAGAUAUUAAUAAAUUUUAGGUUCAUUUAUGUUAUUUGAAGCCAAAAUGUCCUAGCCAAAGAGAGUUGUACCAGCAGAAAAAACAUUCCAGGUUUUUUUUUUCUGAAGCCACAAGAACAAACAAACGGCAAACACACUACUGCUAUUCAUAGUCAGUAUUGCUACAACAGAAUGUACAGAAAAGGCAAUCUACUCUUAAGGCUUGACACACAAAAAACUUGGAAUAGUGACUAUGAACAAUCUGUUGUAGCAAUCUACUCUGAAGCACAGAAAAGGCAAUUUACUCUUGACACACAAAGUUUAAACAGUUAUUUUGGCAUUGUAUUCUUCAUAGUAUGCUUAGUUUAUGCAAGAAAAUGAUCGUACUUCAGUUAUACAUUACACAAAGGUAGAUCCAGAAGAAUACUUGGCUGACCACAUAAGAGUAUAAUUAAGUAGCAGCAGCAUAUACCAUAACAGCUUUAAUAACAGGAUUGGUACCUAAUCACAUUAUAGCCAACGACAGCUAUCCGGCGGCAUCAAUAACCUGAUUAGUACCUAAGAACAACAGAAAUUUCUUUUACUAAGAGUCCAUGCAGAGUAUGACAUCUAAACCUUCUAACAUAAACAUAAUUACAAAAACCUUAUAGAAAUAAGGAAUUGAACAACAAGAGAACAAAUAAAAGGAGGCACGCACAGUAAUGCAAACCAUGCCAAUUGUCAACCUAGUUUUUAAAUCUCACAGAACAUCAACUCAAUUGUAGACUAAAAGAUGGUUGCCAUGCUAACAUUAUCUCUCUCUCAUUCCUUGCUCGUUUAAAAGAUUGCACAAUCAACUACUUAUUUCAUACACCAGAAUAAACUUCACAUCACAUGCAUCUAUUCUAUUGGAAGAAGGAUACAGUAGGGACCUCCCCUGCUGUUAUAUGGAGCAAAUUCUAAUGGAAGAUGACAAAACUGUUAAGAACUAAAACAAAGAAAAGUUUCGCUGAAGCAUUUGUAGAAUGGUGAUACAGAAUAAUAGGAGUACGGCUAGGAAUGGAUAUUAACAUAAGCUCUAUGAUAAUAGAGUCGGAAAUUUAGGUCCAAAUAAAGAAAUAAGCCUUGUCACCUGAUGCUUGCUCCACUAUACCACCUCUUCUGGCUUAGUGGGGAAGGCGGGAAACUGAGAGGCAUGGCUGAGUCCUAAAGUAUCCUAACCUUUCAAAGACGUAGUAAUAGAAUACCCAAAAUGUUCAUUAGAAACCUCAUAGCUGAGCCACAAUUCACAUAUACAUAGUUUAGCAUGCGACCUAAAGUAUCAUAGUUAAGCCACAAUUCGCAGAAAUUUGAAGUCCAAAAACAGAAGAAAUAAAAUGUUGUAAGAUUAAUAUCCAAAGAUACAUAGUUGAGCUGCAACCUAAAGUAUCCUUACCUGUCAGAGCUAUGCGAAUAGAAUAUUCAAAACCUUCAUUAAACAUAUCAUCAUAUUGGCCAGCCACGGCAACAGUGUACGAUCAUCAAAAUAUGUAGGUGCAGAGUGCAGACCUAUUCAUAGGUUAGCUGAAGCGGUAUGAAAAAUUCAAACAUUAGCUGUUACACUUACGAUAUUAUUCAUCGGCAAAGCAGUAUGGGCUACCAUCAGCGCGACAUUACAGGGUGGCGUCUUCGGCCUCUGUGGUCACAAAUUUUCUAAAAAGCAAGAUGGAUGAAUAGCUACCUCAUAUAUCAAGGUCCACUUCUUCCAUUAUGUACUCAUAUAUCAAGGUCUAGAGUAUAUCUAUCCAGGUCAUGACAAAUUUUGUAAUUCACUCUUUUUUAAAUGAACAGAGAAAAUCUGCAGUGACCAAGAUGUCCACUUCUUCCAUUACGUACUCAUAUAUCAAGGUCUAGAGCAAAGUUCAAGAAGGCGCUGGGCGUUACUUAUGCGUUUUGUGACCUACUUGCGCACAACCCGCUUAUGCGUCGCCUAGGCGCGCCUAGGCGUUUCCACUGUAGCAUGAAGAAACAAGGUAGAUGGGCUGAUCUGGCCCAUUAAACCACUGGCCCAUCUAUUCAAUUCUCCUACUAAAGCCUCCCAUACGUGCACAGUCGACAGAAAAUUAGGGAUCCACCUCACGCCGCCUCUCUCCUUCCUCUCUCCCUUGCUGCACAUGGGAACCAGUCAGCCAGUGAAGCUCGAUUUCUCGCCGGAGAUGCUUGAUCCCUCACCGGAAUCAGUCGAUUUCUCACCGGAAAUGCUUGAUCUCUCGCCGGAAUCAGUUGAUUUGUUGCUGGAUUGGUUGAAUCCUCGUCGGGGAGGAUGGAUCUUUGCUGGGGAGGUCAAAUCCUGGCUGGGGAGAUUGAUUUCCUGCCUGAGAAACACGAUUUCUUGCCGGAGGACCUUUCUGGGCGCUUUUCUGAGCGCCUAGGUCCAAAGCGAGGCGCUAUGCCAGCGCCCAGAGCUUAAGCGCGCCUAGGCGAGCGCCUAGUAGCGCCUUCUUGAACAGUGGUCUAGAGUAUAUCUACCCAGGUCAUGACAGAUUCAAACUGAAAGCAAAGUAGAUUUAGGACAGAGCUAUAUCAUGACCAAACAUGUAAAUAAGAGAAUUCUGCAGUGCAAGAGUACUUUUAGGACCGGGUUACAUUAUGACCAAAUUAGCUCAUGAACUUAUAAUCGAAAAGGACAUGUGUAGGGAAAAAUACUGCCCAAACAAAGUACAGAGAAAAGGAACGCCCAAAUAAAUAUGUUAACGAAGGCAAAGGAAGAAGACCACGUCAUAUUUGAAUGAAUAUAUAUAUAAUCUAUUGCAGACCUUGCCUAGUAGAAACACAGUGACAAGCAAGCACAAGAUGCAUCAGCUUACGUAUUUUAAACCACUGCCAUUGACAUACACGACUGAUUACCUUACAAAGGCAUAUAAGGGUGUGUUUGGUUGCGGAACGAAGUGGAAUGGAAUGUCAUGGUUCCAUUCCACUAGAAUGGGUCGGUUCCGUCUCUGUGUUUGCUUGAGCACAGUAGAUGGAAUGGAAUGGUUACAUUUCGGUGUUUGGUUGGAGAGAUUGAAUCGAAUGAAUUUGAUUCCACUCACAAUAAUUUAUAACUCCACUCGCAAGUAUAAAUAGUUUUGAACAACAUUUUAAUUUCACAAUGAUUUAUCACUGAAAUAUAUAACCUGAUAUUUGAUUGUUUAUAUAUAAAAAUGGUAGUCAAAGCAACUUUUCAGAAAAUAAAUAACAAAUGUUCAUGAAGCACAAAAUCUAGAUCACAAAGUAUUAAUGACAACAAAAAUUAUUACUACCAGUCUCAACACAGAGCACACAAAGCUAGCACUAAUCAAGUUUGAGUACUACUGAUUUUUGGACGGAGAAUGCCAAGCUAGAAAGAGUCAAUCGAAGGAGCUUGCUCUUGCCGUCGCUGAUGCUUCUCUUGCUGCUACCGCCCAGGUGUCUGGAUGCCACCGGCCGGCUAGCUGCCGGGAAGGAGACAAGCCGAGCCGACCGCUGCUUAUCUGCUCUGCUUCCCAACAAAUCGGCUGCAUCUGACCUGCCAUCAUUGCUUCCUACUGGGUGAGAGGAACGGGAGGAGGGAGCAAUCAGCUGCUGCUUGACGAGAGAAAGACGGGGGAGGAGCCGUCGUUCCAGAGGGCGAGCCGAGGGAGAGGCCGGAUCGAGAGGGAGCCGCCCCGUCCUUUCCUAGAUCCUUGGUCGAGGGGCAGGAGACGCGGCGAAGCUGCAUCUCCGGCGAGGGGAAGGAGACGCCGACAAGGCUGCAUAUCCAACCGCGGCGAGGGGGUGCCGUAGAGGAGGGGGAGGUGUAUGGCCGCCGCCAUGCCCAUCGAGGGAGAGGGAGCGGGGCGCCGCACAGGACGCCUUCCUCGUUGGUGAGUGGGGGACGACGCGAGAGAGACGCAUUCCGCGUGGUCCAGCCAAUUUGGAGGAACCACCCGGUUCGGCAUAUAGAGGGAAUAUUCCUCUCCAGGGAAUCAGUGCGUUCCGUUCCCUUUUUCAACUAAACACAGGAAUCGCUCCCAGGUGCAGGUCCGACCCGUUACAUUCCACUUCAUUCCCUGUACCAAACACACCCUAACCUGACAUAUAGGCAUGGACACUGAUACUAUGAAUUUUUUAUGCCCCGUGCGGAACUGUCAUGCCCCUAGUCUUGCUCAUGUCAAGCACAACAGCAGCAAAGCGGACAAAAAUGUAGCCAACAGCAGCAAAGCAGACAAAACUGUAGCCACUCAACACUUGGAAAACAGAAAACAGUGAACAUACGCAAACAAAUCAAACUGACGCAAAUGACCAGUCUGCAGUCAGCUGCUCAAAUAUGCUCUCCGCCACUAAGGGGAAAUAUGAGAUAUACUUUUCUUAACAUGAAACAUUAAGUUGUAGAUGUAGAUAAAAGAUUUAGUCUGCUUGCACAUCAUUUCUUCAAGCAUCACAUACUCUCAAUUAACCAACAACAAUCAUGAAGCACAUACCUGCCCAUGUCGUAGGCCAGUGCCUCCAGUUCUUGAUGGAUUCCUUCAACAGCACAAUGUCUUACUU